UACGUAGGGUGCAAGCGUUAAUCGGAAUUCCUGGGCGUAAAGCGUGCGCAGGCGGCUUUGCAAGACAGAUGUGAAAUCCCCGGGCUCAACCUGGGAACUGCAUUUGUGACUGCAUGGCUAGAGUGCGGCAGAGGGGGAUGGAAUUCCGCGUGUAGCAGUGAAAUGCGUAGAUAUGCGGAGGAACACCGAUGGCGAAGGCAAUCCCCUGGGCCUGCACUGACGCUCAUGCACGAAAGCGUGGGGAGCAAACAGG
rnacentral:rRNA from 1 species